rnacentral:snoRNA from 1 species
UCAGGAUGAACACUAGAUGACGAGUCUGAAAUGUUGCAUCCGAGUUCCUUGGUGCCCAACAAACGAGACGAUAAAAAACUUUUUAUACCAUUCAUGCCUUUCUGACC